UCAGGAGUGAAGCUGCUAUGUGGUUUUCUGGAGAGUCCACACUGUAGACUGGAGAAUCUGAGAUUGAGUUACUGCAGUUUGUCAGAGAUCAGCUGUGCUUCUCUGGCCUUAGCUCUGAAGUCCAACCCCUCCUAUUUGAGAGAGAUGGAGCUGAGUCUCAACAAGCUACAGGACUCAGGAGUGAAGCUGCUGUGUGGUUUUCUGGAGGGUCCACACUGUAGACUGGAGACUGUGAGAUUGAGUUGCUGCAGUUUGUCAGAGAUCAGCUGUGCUUCUCUGGCCUCAGCUCUGAAG